GGGUCGCAACCCCAUAAGUCGCCUCAGAUUCAGGAUCCUGUUCAUUCUGAAGCCUCAGCAGAUGGCUACUGUGUACAGUGAGAUUUAACUAGAUACAUCUGCAGAGUUCACACCACUAACACUAUGGAUCUAUAUUCAUUGAUUCUUCAGAUAUACUACAUAUUAUAUCCACAUACUGUCAUUAAUGUCUAUACAAGAAGGGUUCUUCUUUAUUUUUACUAAUUUAUACAUUAUAGAAUAAUAGUGAAGACAUCAAAACUAUGAAAUAACACAUAUGGAAUCAUGUAGUAACCAUAAAAAAUUGUUAAACAAUAUUUUAGAUUCUUCAGUUUUUUAAAUUUAUUUUAUUUCACCUUUAUUUAACCAGGUAGGCUAGUUGAGAACACCUUUAUUUAACCAGGUAGGCUAGUUGAGAACACCUUUAUUUAACCAGGUAGGCAAGUUGAGAACAAGUUCUCAUUUACAAUUGCGACCUGGCCAAGAUAAAGCAAAGCAGUUCGACACAUACAACGACACAGAGUUACACAUGGAGUAAAACAAACAUACAGUCAAUAAUACAGUAGAAAAGUAAGUCUAUAUACAAUGUGAGCAAAUGAGGUGAAGUGGCCACCCUUUGCCUUGAUGACAGCUUUGCACAUUCUUGGCAUUCUCUCAACCAGCUUCAUGAGGUAGUCACCUGGAAUGCAUUUCAAUUAACAGCUGUGCCCAUAUUAUGGCAAGAACCCUCAAAUAAGCAAAGAGAAACGACAGUCCAUCAUUACUUUAAGACAUGAAGGUCAGUCAAUUAGGAUUAUUUCAAGAACUUUGAAAGUUUCUUUAAGUGCAGUCGCAAAAACCAUAAAUCACUAUGAUGAAACUGGCUCUCAUGAGGACCAACACAGGAAAGGAAGACCCAGAGGACAAGUUCAUUAGAGUUACCAGCCUCAGAAAUUGCAUCCCAAAUAAAUGUUUUACAAAGUAACAGACACAUCUCAACAUCAACUGUUCAGAGGAGACUGUGGGUAUCAGGCCUUCAUGGUCGAAUUGCUGCAAAGAAACCAUUACUAGAGGACACCAGUAAGAAAAAAAGACUUGCUUGGGCCAAGAAACACGAGCAAUGGACAUUAGACCAGUGGAUAUUAGACCAAUGGACAUUAGACCGGUGGAAAUCUGUCCUUUGUUCUGAUGAGUCCAAAUUUUACAUUUUUGGUUCCAACCGCUGUGUCUUUGUGAGACGCAGAGUAUGUGAACGGAUGAUCACCGCAUUAGUGGUUCCCACCGUGAAGCAUGGAGGAGGAGGUGUGGUGGUGCUUUGCUGGUGAUACUGUCUGUGAUUUAUUUAGAAUUCAAGGCACACUUAACCAGCGUGGCUACCACAGCAUUCUGCAGUGAUACUCCAUCCCAUCUGGGUUGGGCUUAGUGGGACUAUCAUUUGUUUUUCGACAGAACAAUGACCCAACACACCUCCAGGCUGUGUAAGGGCUAUUUGAUCAAGAAGGAGAGUGAUGGAGUGCUGAAUCAGAAUGACCUGGCCUCCACAAUCACCUGACCACAACUAAAUUGAGAUGGUUUGGGAUGAGUUGGACCGCGGAGUAAAAUAAAAGCAGUGCUCAGCUUAUGUGGGAACUCCUUCAAGACUGUUGGAAAAUCAUUCCAGGUGAAGCUGGUUGAGAGAAUGCCAAGACUGUGCAAAACUGUCAUCAAAGCAAAGGGCGGCUAUUUGAAGAAUCUCAAUUAUAAAAUAUAUUUUGAUUUGUUUAUCACUUUUUUGGUUACUACAUGAUUCCAUAUGUGUUAUUUCAUAGUUUUGAAGUCUUCACUAUUAUUCUACAAUGCAGAAAAUAGUAAAAAUAAAGAAAAACCCUGGAAUGAGUAGGUGUGUCCAAACAUUUGACUGGUACUGUAUAUAUAUAUAUAUAUAUAUAUAUAUAUAUAUAUUUAUACUCUGGACUCCGACAUUACUCAUCCUAAUAUUUCAAUAUUAAUGUAUAAUUUUUUUUAACGUUUAGAUUUGUGUGUAUUGUUAGAUAUUACUCCACUGUUGGAACUAGGAACACAAGCUCUUCACUACAACCGCAUUAAUAUCUGCUAAAUAUGUGUACCCAACCAAUAAAAUGAUAUUCGAUACUAGUUGGAGGAUUGUGCAUUGAUUUCGGGAUGCUAAUUGGUUAACCCUCUGUGUAAGUUAUGUUGUAUUUGUGAUGACUUGUGAAUAAAUUACUAUUUGAUUGUCAGAUAGAUGCUCAGUUUGAUGCAUUUUGGGAUGCAUCAAGAUUUUCUUCUCCUCAAAGCACAGCCAAGGAAGAAUUUAUUUCUGUAUUGGAUAGAGACGCUGAGUGGACACUGCAGAACGG
ensembl:lncRNA